AACGAACGCUGGCGGCAGGCUUAACACAUGCAAGUCGAACGCCCCGCAAGGGGAGUGGCAGACGGGUGAGUAACGCGUGGGAAUCUACCCAGUUCUACGGAACAACACAGGGAAACUUGUGCUAAUACCGUAUACGCCCUAAGGGGGAAAGAUUUAUCGGAAUUGGAUGAGCCCGCGUUGGAUUAGCUAGUUGGUGGGGUAAUGGCCUACCAAGGCGACGAUCCAUAGCUGGUCUGAGAGGAUGAUCAGCCACACUGGGACUGAGACACGGCCCAGACUCCUACGGGAGGAAGCAGUGGGGGAUAUUGGACAAUGGGCGCAAGCCUGAUCCAGCCAUGCCGCGUGAGUGAUGAAGGCCUUAGGGUUGUAAAGCUCUUUCAGUAGGGACGAUAAUGACGGUACCUACAGAAGAAGCCCCGGCUAACUUCGUGCCAGCCGCCGCAGUAACAC
rnacentral:rRNA from 1 species